rnacentral:rRNA from 1 species
UACAGAGGGGGCAAGCGUUGUUCGGAAUUACUGGGCAUAAAGGGCGCGUAGGCGGCCUUCUGAGUCGAACGUGAAAUCCCCGGGCUCAACCCGGGAACUGCGUCCGAUACUGGAAGGCUUGAAUCCGGGAGAGGGAUGUGGAAUUCCAGGUGUAGCGGUGAAAUGCGUAGAUAUCUGGAGGAACACCGGUGGCGAAGGCGACAUCCUGGACCGGUAUUGACGCUGAGGCGCGAAAGCCAGGGGAGCAAACGGG